CACGCCGUAAACGAUGAGUGCUAGGUGCUGUGGGUAUUGACCCCCGCGGUGCCGCAGCCAACGCGUUAAGCACUCCGCCUGGGGAGUACGGCCGCAAGGCUAAAACUCAAAGGAAUUGACGGGGGCCCGCACAAGCGGUGGAGCAUGUGGUUCAAUUCGACGCAACGCGCAGAACCUUACCUGGGUUAAAUCCACUAGUCGUUUCCAGAGAUGGAGAUUUGCCCUUCGGGGAGCUAGUGAGAAGGUGC
rnacentral:rRNA from 1 species